GGUUGUAUAGUGUAGCGGUUAUCACUCCGGAUUCUGAUGUCCUCAGAACAUUCCGGCAACCCCGGUUCGAUUCCGGGUACGACCU
rnacentral:tRNA from 1 species